UGAGGAAUAUUGGUCAAUGGACGAGAGUCUGAACCAGCCAAGUAGCGUGAAGGAUGACUGCCCUAUGGGUUGUAAACUUCUUUUAUAUGGGAAUAAAGUAUUCCACGUGUGGAAUUUUGUAUGUACCAUAUGAAUAAGGAUCGGCUAACUCCGUGCCAGCAGCCGCGGUAAUACGGAGGAUCCGAGCGUUAUCCGGAUUUAUUGGGUUUAAAGGGAGCGUAGGUGGAUUGUUAAGUCAGUUGUGAAAGUUUGCGGCUCAACCGUAAAAUUGCAGUUGAAACUGGCAGUCUUGAGUACAGUAGAGGUGGGCGGAAUUCGUGGUGUAGCGGUGAAAUGCUUAGAUAUCACGAAGAACUCCGAUUGCGAAGGCAGCUCACUAGACUGCAACUGACACUGAUGCUCGAAAGUGUGGGUAUCAAACAGGAUUAGAUACC
rnacentral:rRNA from 1 species